rnacentral:rRNA from 1 species
CUACGGGUUGCAGCAGUGGGGAAUAUUGGACAAUGGGGGCAACCCUGAUCCAGCCAUGCCGCGUGGGUGAAGAAGGCCUUAGGGUUGUAAAACCCUUUCAGCGGGGAAGAUGAUGACGGUACCCGCAGAAGAAGCCCCGGCUAACUCCGUGCCAGCAGCCGCGGUAAUACGGAGGGGGCUAGCGUUGUUCGGAAUUACUGGGCGUAAAGGGCGUGUAGGCGGUUUGUCUAGUCAGGCGUGAAAGCCCCGGGCUCAACCUGGGAACUGCGUUUGAUACUGGCAGGCUAGAGGUUGGAAGAGGAGAGUGGAAUUCCCAGUGUAGAGGUGAAAUUCGUAGAUAUUGGGAAGAACACCAGUGGCGAAGGCGGCUCUCUGGUCCAUACCUGACGCUGGGGCGCGAAAGCGUGGGGAGCAAACAGGAUUAGAUACCCUAGUAGUC